rnacentral:siRNA from 1 species
CCAUCACGAUGUAUGUACCUUCU